UGGGGAAUAUUGCACAAUGGGCGCAAGCCUGAUGCAGCCAUGCCGCGUGUAUGAAGAAGGCCUUCGGGUUGUAAAGUACUUUCAGCGAGGAGGAAGGCGGUAAGGUUAAUAACCUUAUCGAUUGACGUUACUCGCAGAAGAAGCACCGGCUAACUCCGUGCCAGCAGCCGCGGUAAUACGGUGGGUGCAAGCGUUAAUCGGAAUUACUGGGCGUAAAGCGCACGCAGGCGGUCUGUCAAGUCGGAUGUGAAAUCCCCGGGCUCAACCUGGGAACUGCAUUCGAAACUGGCAGGCUAGAGUCUUGUAGAGGGGGGUAGAAUUCCAGGUGUAGCGGUGAAAUGCGUAGAGAUCUGGAGGAAUACCGGUGGCGAAGGCGGCCCCCUGGACAAAGACUGACGCUCAGGUGCGAAAGCGUGGGGAGCAAACA
rnacentral:rRNA from 1 species